AUUGAACGCUGGCGGAAUGCUUUACACAUGCAAGUCGAACGGCAGCACGGGGCAACCUGGUGGCGAGUGGCGAACGGGUGAGUAAUAUAUCGGAACGUGCCCAAUCGUGGGGGAUAACGUAGCGAAAGUUACGCUAAUACCGCAUAUUCUGUGAGCAGGAAAGCAGGGGACCGCAAGGCCUUGCGCUCUUUGAGCGGCCGAUGUCAGAUUAGCUAGUUGGUGAGGUAACGGCUUACCAAGGCGACGAUCUGUAGCGGGUCUGAGAGGAUGAUCCGCCACACUGGAACUGAGACACGGUCCAGACUCCUACGGGAGGCAGCAGUGGGGAAUUUUGGACAAUGGGCGCAAGCCUGAUCCAGCCAUGCCGCGUGAGUGAAGAAGGCC
rnacentral:rRNA from 1 species